GAAGUCCCGUUUGUAGCUGUCUUUUAAGGGCUCUCCCGAAGGGAGGCACCUUUCCCCCUUGACUUGGAGAAGUGGGUUUUGCCCUCGUUUUUUUGGGUUGAAUUGUUUUUAGUUUUUUUCUUUUGUUUCAUGUUUCUCUUUUGCAAAUCCGGACUAAUUGUGAGCAUUUCUAAUGAUUAUUGUGAGGAGCAUGAAGCUCUUCCUAGUUGCUUGAUUUUGUCUAGUGUUCCUUCUUUGUUUGAAGGGUUUGCUAUGGAAUUCGACUGAAUUAGUGUGAGCUUCCCUGGUUUUGCAUGGCAUGGAUUAGUUUCUGGUGGUGGUUUGCUCGCGGGUGCGAUCUAGAAGGUCGGCCAAAAGGCACGAAUGGUACACCGAAGAGACCGAUGUGUGGUUUUCAUGGCUUCUCCUUCACUAUAGUUUCUAGCUACCUUGAAUUUGUGCCUCGUUUGUUUCGUGCCUAAAACCAGUAGUCUAGUUCGAUUCCUUGGUGUUUCUUGCUUGGGCCUUUUAUCAGGCGUUGAUGUCAUGCAUGGCCUCCGGUUUCCUCUUGAGUUUGUUGUUCAUCUCCCCCAGAUGAAAGAUAGCCGUCUAUGCACGACGAUGGAUGUAUUACAGGGUUUUGGAUUCAGGCGGUUGACCCACUUCGACUAAGGUUGUUGAUCGGCCUUGGGUCUUAGAUGCUGGUUGAAUCUAGUUUAGCUAGAUUGUUUGUAUUUAGGCUAGGUAGCCUUUUCUUGUAAUGGACCAUAAGGCCCACUCCUUUAAUGAAUUCAAACUAUCUCUUGAUAAAAUAAAUAAAUAAA
rnacentral:misc_RNA from 1 species